GGCACUUUGUUGGAUCAAAGCUAGUUGAAAUCUGAGCUAUCAGAUAUUUGGGGAUUUCCCUGUGGAAGACUAUCCUGGAGAGACAUAGAAUUAGAACAGGGGAUUGCUUGAUUGGGGAGUUACUUAAAAGCAUUUGCUAGAGUCCUGCUGUGCACAGGUGAUUAUAAACUGUUGGGUCAUCAGCUAGGGGACUGACAUACAGUCAAGUAUGCCUAAAGCUGGCCUGUAUUGCUCUGGGACUGAGGUGCAUGUGGAAUUACUGGAUAGAAGACUGUAUGUGCCCCCUCUUAUCCCAGCUGCACGGAGUACAUCUCAGCUUAAAUGGAAAACUUAGUCUGAAUUAUGAUUUUUAUUUGAAAAGCUUGGAGUUUCAUAUUUUCAUUUUGAGGAGUGCUGUUUUGUCUGCAGACCUUCUCAAGCAUUAAGAUGAGACUAUGAGGUGUGUUACUGCUGCUUCAAAUAUGAGGUUUUGCAAUUCAUUAAACUCCACUGUUGCAGGAAAGAGUUAGUUUGUAUGGAAUUCCACUGGAUGUCUAUGAAAUGGCACAUGCAGCCACAUUGCAGUGUACUUCUGUUAAUUGCAUUGCAGUUACUAUGCCAUUUGCAAAAUAGGUGAGUUACCAAAAAGAAUGUCCUUUUAAUACCGUUAAAAGAAACUUAGGAUAUUUCAAAUUUUGUCUGUUGCUGUUUUAUUACAAUAGUCCUGCACCUAUUUCUAAUACCAGUAAAAAAGGCUUUUUGGAGACUUUCAAAUGAAUUUCUAGUAGUUCAACUGGUAUACUAUUGAAUCUCUUGGCCAAACAUCUUGGUGGAAGAGGGUCAUUCUUAGAAUAUGAAAUAAUGUACAGUCCAAUGUUUAUUCAUAUGGGUUUUCAGUUUUGGUGUGCAUCUGUCACUCUCAAAACCUAUCAUAUGAUGUACAUCUGUUCGUUUGGAUGAAAACAAAAUAGUACCAUAAUGGAUCCUAUAUUUAUAGAAUGCUAAAUAAUAAUGUGCUAUCUUAUAAUGAGGUGCAAAUUGUCCGCUAUUCAUUUGUAUAGAAUCAUAGAAUUGCUCAGGUUGGAAAAGGCCUUAAGGAUCAUCAAGUCCAACCACAACCUGACCAUACUACCCAACUCUAACAGCCCUCUGCUAAAUCAUGUCCCACAUCAAACAGUUGUUAACCACACCCAGGGGUGGUGACUCAACCAGCUCCCUGGGCAGCCCGUUCCAGUGCUCAACAACCCUUUUUGUAAAGUGGUUUUUCCCGAUAUCCAACUUCUGAUUUGAGUUCUUUUGUUUAUGUCAUGUUGUAAAGCUAUAUAAAUUGCUUAUUUAUUUAAAAGCUGCUAUUGGUUUCUGUGAGCCUGAAUUUGAAUUUUCAGAUGUCACUGAGGCAUGCAGAAGAUUCUGCUGUUAGCAUCUGUAGUGCUGUUCAUCGAGGUGAUGCUCAGUUUUAGUAUUUGUAUAAAUUUAGUGUGUUCUGCAUUGAUGGACUUCUGGCCAAUAAUUAAAUUUUUUUAAAUUGCUUCUUUCCCAUUUAUUUGUCUAAUCAUCUGGGCUCUGAAGAUAUUUCCUUCUGUGCAUUCUGGAGCUGUUUGAGCACAGCACUUUGCUAUCAUUGCUGUGCUUCCCAUUGCACUAUUGCAUUACAGGUGACCCCAUAGGAAGAAGCACUGUGUCAUCAGUUCUAGCUGUUUCAUCCCAAAAAGUUACUUUUAUUCUAUAUUUUUCAUGUUUUGGUUGUUUUGACUGGGAAGUGAUUAUUUCUCUCUCAGCAUCCAUUUACAAGCAAAAGGCAAGGAAAAUCAGUUUGGCUUAGCAGCUCUGUACAGGAACAUCAGCUUCUUUUUGAGUGCUUUUAAAUCCCUUAACAACCACUGGUAGCAAUGUCCUAAAAGCAAGAUUAUUCAGUUUUCUUCAAGUCCUGGUGUGAUGACAGUACUGUAAAGCGCUCAUUAAAUACAACGGCUGUACUUCAGCUGUGGAUUAUAAAAGCUGCAUGAUUCCACAGUCCCUCUCAGUCUAAACAUCUGUCUUUGUGUUCAGUGGUUGUGAAGAAAACAGUGUUAUGAAAUGCGAGGACAGAAUAAUCACCUCUCUAAUACAGCAUUAUGAAACGGCCUGCGUUGAGAGAGGCAGAUUUGUACUUGCUUUAUCUUACGUGGGUGUAAGAGAUAAUGGCAGUGUAAAUCUCAGAGGGAUAAUGUGUGUGAUUUAGAAUCUCUUCAUGAGGUUAAUGCCAUACAGAAUUGGUUGUUUGUUUGUGCUAGUCCACGAGAUGAGUAUUUUCACUGGUUACAGUUUCCUUAUCUAUCACAGUAAUCAGUGGAACUAACGGUAAGGUUUUGGGGUUUACGAAUUCUUAGGGUUGUUUUAUAGGAACAAAAUGGUUCUGUACUAACUUUUGUAUGGAGUCUUAAAACACAGUAUUUCUUCAGUUGCCAUUGUCUUUUACUUUAGGAAUUGAUGCUUUUUAGACGUAUGUUACACUGUGAUAAUGAAGUGGAAAUGCGAGAAGAAAAUAAUAUGUGAGGGAGAAACACUUUACCACGUCAAUCUAAGCCCCAGAUACCCACCUGCAGUAAAAAUGCACUACUGUUGUGAGACGCUUUGUAAUAUUAAGCCUAUUACUGGCUGUUCAUACCUGUAAAAUACGAAAGCUCUCGUGUCCAUGAACUCUGCUCAGAGAGUCAGGAGGCUCCUGAAGGCCUUUGCUGCUCUGGAAGAGAAGCUGGAAGGCAGCACACUGCAGUUCGCUUGUUAAACUGAAACAGCUCACAAGACAGCAUCCUGCCUCUCCCGCGGGGUUUGGUAUUUCACCUCGUUCUCUGCACAUUGGUUUACUUGGGAGAAUAAUGGAGCAGCACCAGGCUGCUGGAAGAUCCCAGCUGAUCCCGGUAAAAACCACACGUUCUGCUCCACAGUUCUGUUGCUAGGAGUUAGCAUUCAGUGCACUUCCAACAGAGCCUCAGCCUCUUUUUAUUCAUCUCUGUUGAAAUAUUGCUUCUUGUGGGUGAGGAUACCCUCAGGUGAGUGGUUCUUGUGAUCAUUUUUUCUUCAAUUUUGAGUUAUUUAUUGGCUACUUCUAAAAAAAUCCUUUGUGAUUGAAUCAAAUCCAUUUUCUCUUUUAUAGUUCAAUGAUGGUUUCUCUUUGAGGUUUGAUAUUCACAUUACAUCUGUAAUUAUAUCUGUCCUGGAGCUUGGUUUUCGUUUGAGUGGAAGGUCACUUUUGUUAUCAGGAAACCACAUAAGAGUCUCCUCCUAUAGGCUUGUUGCAGGCUGCUAGGUGUCUGUUUGAAGCACUCGGAUGGUAGAAGUGCUGCAGUAGUUUCUGGAACUUGACAGAAUUUGAAAAAUGAUAAUGAGUGGGAAGUGUGCUGUAGUACUCACUUCUUAAAAUGUUUUUUUUCAUUCCUCCUUUUGGUGGAAUCGUGGAGUAUAAGAACUUUAUUUUCAAAACUUGGUAGAAGUAUUUCUUAAAUAUCCUUCAGCAGAGUGGGUGUGUGAAACACGCUGCAAAGCUUCAUACUUCUCAGCGAGUGGGAAAUGUGCUCCCGCACCCAGCAGACACAUCACUCAGCCAUUGCUUGGGCUGCUGAGCUCUGCCGAGCAUCACUGAACCUGAGGGAUGUUACCCUGUCCUCUCCUCUCCACCUCAUCCCAUCCUUGUUCAAGUGACGAUGAUGCCAGUGAUUCAGAAAUACAUUCUUAAUGAAAUUGACCAUUAUAAAGCAACUAUGGAGAAAGUAAAUCUAAACGGCAUGUUUUUCCUCCUAGAAAAGAUGCUCUUUCAUAGCCAUAGGCAGUGCUGCUAUGCAGACCAUUUUGUGCACUGUGCAGAAAAUAGCCGUGUUUUGCCUUAGAUCCCAGGAAACAUGCUGAAUAGGAGCGAGAGGUGAGGCGGCGUUGGGUGGAAGUGAUAAGGCUGUGAAAAUGCUCUGAAAGUAGCCGGCCUGUUGUGUGCACUGUGUUAUUGCACAAGCAAUCUCUUACACUUUCUAAGUGUGCAUAGUUAUAUAUUGCUGCUGGCAGAGCACAGCUAACAGAAUUAGAAAAAUUAGAGAUGCCAUUGGAGACUGCAAAUCCCUCCAGCCUUUUCCUAAAAUGGAAAUGGAGAAUAUUCUGAUCUGCUUUUUGAACAUCACCGCAGCACAUCGUGUCGUGUGUCCAGGAAUUAAACGAGACUGCUUUGUGUAGUACCUACAGGUAUCAUCUCUAAUGGGAAAUAUUGCCAGAAAACUGCUUACAAACCAUGCUGCUCGUGAUCUGACAGUGUUUCUCUUCCUUAAUUCUUCAAACAUCUGUUUUACCACUGCAAGUUGCAGUAUCUUGGUCUUUCAAUCUGUUUCUACUUAUUCUAUAAAAGCAUCAGAAGAAGAAAGCUGUGCAUUCUCUUCAAUUUGAUGGAAUUUUUGCAACAUUUUCUUCUCAAAAUUGAAUAAGUUAUAUUGAAGCUGUUGUGCUUAACUGGGUUUAAAAAAUAAAAAAAAAAAACAACAAACAACUGCCUAAAAAAUUAAUUGAGGAAGGCUUAAUGAAUAGCAUUGUUUUUCCUUCUGCUUCUCUUUGUGAUAAUUAAAAUGAGUUUUAUUUUUGUACUGCGAGGAGACACACUGCAUCAAGGCCAACAGAGUGUUUACAAAGGAGUGAUGUAUGAGCUCUGUGUGCCCAUAAAAUACAGUGAAGCAAGCUGGCUUUGACUUGGUUCCUACAAGCUUCUGUUAUUACAGGUUUGUUUACUUGGGAGCUGUGGAGGUUUAUUUAUAUAAAUGCCAGUGAUGCUGUUCAUAAUUGUGUCCAGGAUCAACGUAGUACAGCAUUGAUCAAACCUGCUGCAGCUUUGUUUUAAAUCAAACAUGAGAUAUUUGACAAGUUCAUAACUGUCUACUAUGGAUUUUUUUCUGCUAUACUCCAGAUACCCAAGCUAGAAUUGCAAAAAGACCGAAGAGAGAACUCCAAUUUACAAAUCUGUCAGUAAUGGCAGCCAGAGCAUCAUCACUGAUGUAAUAUAUUGUAAGAUUACGUGGGGGGAACUCAGCACAAAUGAUUUCUGUAGCACUUGUUUCACAUGAAUUUUGCAAAGAAUAACAUUUAGAAUAAUAACCAUCUAAUGUGUUUCCCUGUGAAAAUACAGAUCGUACAUUUCAGCUCGUGGUUCAACUUGAGAAUUGGGAGCUCACAUUUGGGUAUUUUCUGUAGACAAUUCCUUUGGUCCUUUUACGCAUCCCAGAUUAUGGUGCUUAAUUUCAGAUUUAUAAGCCUUGUAAUUGGCUCUGUAGAAGAACAGUUUACUUUGAGACCAGUUUACCAAGUAAGCUAUGGUGCUGUGAAUGACAUAUCUUCACUUUAUUCCAUUCUAUUUAUCCUUGCUCUUUUUGUAAGCAUUACCAGCUUCUAUAUCAUAGUUUAAAAAAAAAAUGUUGCGUCACUAGCUGAGAAUCAGUUCUCUAGGCAGCUCUUUACUCUAAAUAAUUAAUUACUUAUUUAAAAAAUUUAGUAUCAAGAAAGCCUUUUCUGAUUGUCUAUUGCUACAUAACUGUUGAGUAUCCCUGUUUCCAAGAAUCUGAAGCUUGUGUGAUAGAGUUCAAAGCUUAAAACAUGUUCAGAAAGAUGUUAACACUUGCUGUCAGUUGUUGGUAGGAGUAUUUGAUUUGACAAGACUUGUCUUCCCCCAGAACCUGUUGAAUUCUGAAUAUAAUUAAUUCUCUGAGAUUAAGUAAUGAUCUUUAUAUUGCAUGAUUUUACUUAAAAUCAAUAUUGGGAUAGAUGAGUCAUUGCAUUAAAAGUUACGUUGUUAACAUCUAUUUUUAAAAUAUUUUCUUGUUCUAUGGACUUUUCCAUGAUAGAUUCAUUCUAGGGGAAGUAUAUCUGUUUUUGAAAUUGAAUAAACAGGAAAAAAACGUAUCUUGAGUCAUGUCUGAGAUGUUAACUCCUGGUGCCAUUCUGCAACAGUUGAGAGAGCUGAAUUGGAUUUGGUGUUAGGAAGUUUGAGAAGGAAGGAUUAUUGGCAGAGGGUUCACCAGCUGUGCUCUCAUGCUUGGAACUUGUUGCUGCUUUGUUGUAACAAUCCAGUGACUUUCUGGGGAUGCAGCAAAGCGUUGUUUGUUCACUUGGCCUCUCUGAGCAAAGUGAGCUGUUUCUUCCCAGUUGUUUUGAGCGAGUUUGAAUAUUAAUAGAUUCAUAGAUUUUAUGUAUUAGCGUUGAAGUUUUAUAUUGCCAUAGUCUUAAUUACAGGUGCCUUUCUGUAGGCAAUGAAUCUGUGGAGGACAGGGAAGAAAACUGGUAUUAUCUGAUUGUACUUGUGCAUUAUCAAUGGCAUUUGGAGCCCAGGUUUGAAAAGCAGUUCUGGAUGUUACUCUAUGUCAGGCUUCUCUGGCUGCCCUGGAACAUCCACUUCCCUACAUCUCCUGUCCUCCUUGUUUUAGUAUGUAGUUUUAAAAAAAAAAAAAUCUUGGCAUACGUAUUCUUUUUUGCAGAUGAGUAUAAGAAUCUCUGAGCUGGAAAAUCAGCUACCUUUCCUUGCUGGUGAAGGAUGUUAUAUAUAGAGCUGCUAAAACCUUGGCACCUGUAAUUGUGCCAGACGAGAUGAGAUGCAGCAUCUGGGGAAUGGUUCUGCCGUUGGAGGAGAUGGGCUGGAAACAUUCUUUCAUGGACAGAAGCUUUGUAAGAUGGGAAUGUGAAGAACAUCUGAAGUCUGUUAACAGAAUCCUCUUGCUGCAGUAUCCCGAGGUGUUGUGGCUGGUAACUUCUGUAGCCAGGUAGUUAUCUCCUGGUAACUGGUUCAUGAGCUGUUCCCCCCUUAUUUUCUGAUACAAAGUCCCUGAAGAGAUACUUAGUUGGAUUUGAAUUCAGUUUGGUGGCAGAUCUCCAGCUAGCAGCCAGGAGACUGCUAGAAAUAGAUGAUGUGGAUAAAGACUCUGUUCAUCUCUCUGAUUUAUUCUGCAAACAUUAAGAAGGAUGCUGAACAGCGUACAUAAUUUCAAUUAUCAUUGCUGGUGCAUUGCUCUGCAGUUUUGCUGGGGUUUUCAUACAAAUGAAGUCGGUCUUUUUUGAUUGGAAUAUGUUCUCAAUGACACAAUGUGCAAGAUGAGAAGACAGAUUUGCUUGUUAAUUACUUCUUUGAGAUCACUGCUGGUGGCAUGCAGAAUGCUACAACAAAUGUCUGUUAGCGUGGUUAGUGUGGGCUCCUGUUCUGCUCUCAGACUAAGCAGACAAAAGCAGUUUGUCUACAUUUUUAAAACCAUGAACAUUCAGAGAAAUUACUGUAUUUUUCAAAGAGGCAUAGAGAAACUAAAGGUAACUUCAUAAGUUCCCUGGGGCAAGGCAUUAAAACUUAGGUACUUACUGGCAGAAAUUGAACAUCUAGUGGUUGUGAGGAUUUCACUGGGCAGGUAGGUGCUUACUUCCAUUACAGUAAAACAUGAACUUGUAAGUCAUAUCUAAAAAGGUGUAGGCUUAACUGAACUUUAGAGCCUUUGAGAUUGCUAGAAUGCUAUUUCCACUGAACAUCUGACAGUGAUGCAUGAAACAAAACCAAAGUAUCAGAAAACGAGAGUCCUGUCUGCCAUCUGAAGUGAUCUGAAUGCUGCCAUGAAUGUGCCAAGGGCACCUUAAAAAAUGUGGCACAUCUUCAAAUUCAGUUGGAAGUUUCCCUGAGAUUGUGUUAGUGACUUGGCUUACCUGUAGGAGUGUGUUAGCAGAGUUCUGUGUCGGAUCUGCUGAGUUCCAGACCUGCAUCCUGAACACAACAGAUUUCUGUUACCGAGAGUCCAGCUGCAUUUUACAUACAUAUUAAAUUUCAAGUAUGAGUUACAACAGUUGUGCAUCGAAGAUCGCUAGCAGCUAGCAUGCAAAUGCUGUAUCUAAAGAGAUUAAAGCCCUUCUGAUGGCAGUGGAAACUGUCAAAGUUAAAUUAAAAUUAAAAAUCCAUUCUGUGGCUGCAGAGAUGCCGGGCUGCCUGACAGCCCCAGAGCCAGGGAGUUUAAACUGCAGCAGUAUCUAUUUGCUCUCCUGUGCUUCUGCCUUUACCCCAGUCAGCUUCUGUACCACAGUGAAAUAUGGCCACUGUGCCUAUGAGAUGUUGGGCCUGAAUGUAAGGAAAGAGAAACAACAUUCAGCUGUUUUUUUAACCUCUCUGAUUAGCAGAUAUUCAAUUUACUUAUUCCUUAGCUUGUAAUAUAUUAAGAUGACAGGUCUUCUCCUUUUUUUGUAUGCUUUAUGAUAAUGUACUGCUGCAUAUUAGUCACUCAAAAUGAAGAUUUGAUGUGGCCUUCAGCAGUUAAAAAACAAACAAACAAACAAAAAACCACGAAAAAAACCCCCACUGGCUAUGAUGACAAGGGAAUGUUUUCAUAAAUUAAUACCUGCACUACAUGUAGGUGUCCCAGACAGUAAGUGAGGAGCAGUAGGUGAUCGGGGUGGUGCUGAGAGCAUGAAAUACCAUGGGAAAAAUCGUGGGGCUGCUGAAGGUGAGGAGGGGCUGCAUCUGUGUGCCUGCCCACCCUGCCUCCACACUCACCAUCUCAGCUCACUGAUGUUCCUGAAUCUCUGUUGUGGUUCUUUCCAUUUUACUGUCCUUGUCUGCCAACGUGAAAGCAGUGUUGUAAUAAAGGAUAAAACUUCUCAUAAGCAAUUUACUGCCAUGUACUGUACAGACCUCUGGAAAUCAGUUGUGUAUUGCUUGCUGCUGUUUGAGUUACUUCUCAGAUUGCCUAAAUUAGAGAUUAGGACAAUCUCUGAUUAAACAGCCUGUAUGCUGCUUGAAACUCAAAAGGAGCAAUGCCUUUAUUAGUUAAGCAUUGAGCCAAAAUCUUUGCUUGGCGACACCUCUAUGUGAGAUGAGUUUAAAAAUCUGGACCAGGAAUACGAAGUUUCAGUUGAAGUGCAGUGAGGCCUUUUUCACAGGGAGCCAUCCCAGUUCAUGCUACAGAGCAGGGAAUCCAACCCCUGUAAAAGCACUGGGUACUGCUGGCCUACGAUAGGAUAAUGGGCCUUAAGGAAAGGGGAACCGGCAUUAUGCACUACUUUUGUUAAGAUAUUUAUUACUGUUUCGUGUGAUACUUGAGAAAUGGGUUACAACGAGAUGCAGGUGUGACUGAAUGAUCGUACAGGUAGAACAAAAAAUGUGGUACACAAUUGCAUGUAGGUUUUAAUAUUUCUUAGAGUUGUGUGGGCUGGCAGGACGCUGUGUUGGCAGGAGGGGUGUUCCCUGGUACGUGUAUGGUCCUCAGCAGCAUCCCAGUGCUUUAGCUGGUGCAGAGCUGUUAGAGCCUGAGCCGGGCAGGCAGCCGCGCUGCACGGAGCUGUGAUGUUUGCUUUGCAGACAGAAGGAGUUCAGGCAGAAAUUGGAGCCUCCGGUCGCCUGUAACACAUCCUCUGUAUUCUCUCCCUCUGAGUAAGCCAUGUGAGCCGCAUCUCUCCCUGCUGUGACUUAUUGGCUGCCGUCAGCUCUGAGUAAUGCAGCUUCCACGCAGGGCGUUGCUGGAGGGUGUGAGCAGACCAGCUGGGCUGCAGGGAGCGAGUGUGGUACCUGUGGCUGACGUGCAGCUCUGCAGGCUCUGUAACAUCCAGUAAUUCACACGGGCACCUGGGUUGUUAUGACAUAUUAUUCCUCGGUUUUAUUAAUCGCUAAUCAAGUAAUAUAUAGUAAUUAUUUGCUCCGUGGUAAAAUGUCCUCAGUGUCCAUCUGUAAACUUGCUCCAAGUGAGAAAUUGUACCCGGGGGCGGCCAGAGCGCAGCCCGUGUGUGCUGCCCUGCCGGGGCGGAGUGCUACGUCCUUGGGUGGGCAGAAAUUGAAAAUAAUUACGCUCCAAACUAUUAGAUGCCACGAACGAUAGAGCGAAGCCCACGGCGCUCUGACGGUCCUCCACGGAGAUUUCUGACGCUCCUUCUUGGAACGCCCCAGUCCCUUUUUCCCCCCGUUGCGAGAGCCGAGCGCCGCUCCGCUCCGA